rnacentral:snoRNA from 1 species
CUGUUAGUAUUCUAGCUCUGGUUUUGUUGUAAGGAUUGGACUACUGUAAGACCACGCAUGUGUCCCCAGACCUUGUUUCUUCCCUAGGCCAAGACUUGUAAAUGCUGGUGACAAGG